UGGGGAAUAUUGGACAAUGGGCGAAAGCCUGAUCCAGCCAUGCCGCGUGUGUGAAGAAGGCCCUCGGGUCGUAAAGCACUUUAAGUUGGGAGGAAGGGCUUACAGCGAAUACCUGUGAGUUUUUGACGUUUACCAACAGAAUAAGCACCGGCUAACUUCGUGCCAG
rnacentral:rRNA from 1 species